rnacentral:rRNA from 1 species
CGGGAGGCAGCAGUCGAGAAUCAUUCACAAUGGGGGAAACCCUGAUGGUGCGACGCCGCGUGGGGGAAUGAAGGUCUUCGGAUUGUAAACCCCUGUCAUGUGGGAGCAAAUUAAAAAGAUAGUACCACAAGAGGAAGAGACGGCUAACUCUGUGCCAGCAGCCGCGG